rnacentral:rRNA from 1 species
AUACGGAGGGGGCUAGCGUUGUUCGGAAUUACUGGGCGUAAAGCGUACGUAGGCGGACUGAUCAGUUGGGGGUGAAAUCCCAGGGCUUAACCCUGGAACUGCCUUCAAUACUGUCAGUCUUGAGAUUGGAAGAGGUGAGUGGAAUUCCUAGUGUAGAGGUGAAAUUCAUAGAUAUUAGGAGGAACACCAGUGGCGAAGGCGGCUCACUGGUCCAAUCCUGACGCUGAGGUACGAAAGCGUGGGGAGCAAACAGGAUUAGAAACCCUAGUAGUCC